UUCCGGUUGAUCCUGCCGGACCUGACUGCUAUCGGAUUGAUACUAAGCCAUGCGAGUCUUUGUAGUAAUACAAGGCAUACGGCUCAGUAACACGUAGUCAACUUACCCUAUGGACGAGGAUAAUCUCGGGAAACUGAGCAUAAUACUCGAUAGAUCAUAAUGCCUGGAAUGGUUUAUGGUUAAAAUGAUUCGUCGCCAUAGGAUGGGACUGCGGCCUAUCAGCUUGUUGGUGAGGUAAUGGCCCACCAAGGCGAUUACAGGUACGGGCUCUGAGAGGAGAAGCCCGGAGAUGGGUACUGAGACACGGACCCAGGCCCUAUGGGGCGCAGCAGGCGAGAAAACUUUGCAAUGUGCGAAAGCACGACAAGGUUAAUCCGAGUGAUUUCUGCUAAAGAAAUCUUUUGCCAGUCAUAAAACCACUGGUGAAUAAGGGGUGGGCAAGUUCUGGUGUCAGCCGCCGCGGUAAAACCAGCACCUCAAGUGGUCAGGAUGAUUAUUGGGCCUAAAGCAUCCGUAGCCGGCUUUGUUAGUUUUCGGUUAAAUCCAUGUGCUCAACGCAUGGGCUGCCGAAAAUACUGCAUAGCUAGGGAGUGGGAGAGGUAGACGGUACUCAGUAGGAAGGGGUAAAAUCCUUUGAUCUAUUGAUGACCACCUGUGGCGAAGGCGGUCUACCAGAACACGUUCGACGGUGAGGGAUGAAAGCUGGGGGAGCAAACCGGAUUAGAUACCCGGGUAGUCCCAGCUGUAAACGAUGCAGACUCGAUGAUGCAUUGGCAUAAUAGCCAGUGCAGUGUCGCAGGGAAGCCGUUAAGUCUGCCGCCUGGGAAGUACGUACGCAAGUAUGAAACUUAAAGGAAUUGGCGGGGGAGCACCACAAGGGGUGAAGCCUGCGGUUCAAUUGGAUUCAACGCCGGG
rnacentral:rRNA from 1 species